GGCAGGCCUAACACAUGCAAGUCGAGGGGUACCGCGCCUUCGGGCGCGGGAGACCGGCGCACGGGUGCGUAACGCGUAUGCAACCUGCCCCGUACAGGGGGAUAGCCCAGGGAAACUUGGAUUAAUACCCCAUGUUGCCCCGAUGACACCUGUGAUCGGGGCCAAAGAUUCAUCGGUACGGGAUGGGCAUGCGUCCUAUUAGCUAGUAGGUGCGGUAACGGCGCACCUAGGCCGCGAUAGGUAGGGGCCCUGAGAGGGGCGACCCCCACACUGGUACUGAGACACGGACCAGACUCCUACGGGAGGCAGCAGUGAGGAAUAUUGGACAAUGGGCGGGAGCCUGAUCCAGCCAUGCCGCGUGCAGGAAGACGGCCCUAUGGGUUGUAAACUGCUUUUAUACGGGAAGAAACACCCCCACGGGCUGGGGGCUUGACGGUACCGUAAGAAUAAGGAUCGGCUAACUCCGUGCCAGCAGCCGCGGUAAUACGGAGGAUCCGAGCGU
rnacentral:rRNA from 1 species